rnacentral:tRNA from 1 species
GUGGGUGUAGCUCAGUGGUAGAGCACCUGGUUGUGGUCCAGGAAGUCGCGGGUUCAAAUCCCGUCACUCACC